AGGCGCAAAUAAAAGACAGAAAACAUUAAAGGAAAUGAACCGACAUGAACGAUCGCGUGUCAGUAGCUAAGGUCCGGCACAGCGCGUUGCUGAUCACAGAGAAUGUGAUCAUACGAUAAUUCAAUAGGGAGCGUGGUUUCACAGACGCGGAAGUGAGAGCGUCGGUGAAACGCCGGCUGCUCUAGGAAACCCCCGAGCCUUCGAGUGUCAACGAAGUGACACGGAAAUGCCGGGCUUUCCAGAAGUAAGUAAGAUAACUUACUAUGAGCUGAUAGUUCGUUGGAUUGAUUGGUAGGUUGGAAACUCUGAUCAUGAAUCUGAAGAAACGAUGACUGAGUGGUGAGCUGGAAAGGCGACUUCCGUUUGGUUUAUAGCCGCGGUUUGUGACGUAGGUGCGACGUGGAGGGAAUCCCCGCGAGGGGCAUGCUGGGAGUCCCUACUUCGCGGAUUUUCACCUAUCGCGGCCAGGUCUGGAACGCAUCUACCGCGAUAAACGAGGGAUUACUGUAGUUCAUACACCCCCUACUGCUGCUCUCCAGAGUGUUCUGCAGUGUAAUCAGCACGUUCUCUUUGAACUUGAUAGUGUAAUGACCUGGCUGGGGUUGUAAGCCAGGUGCAUUCUGGGUAUUGUGUUAUAUGUGUUUCCUAUCGUCCUGCUAGUUCCUAUGUGCUGAUUUGCGUGUUGUGUGAGUGUUAUGUAAGCCACAGGGAAGGUGAUGUGUGUUCUGUGGAGCGGGUUGAAUUAGCAUGGUUAACUGACACCGUGACUCUGUGUGGUAGGAGCAUGAUAGAGGAUCAUGUCUGUAGCGUUACAAAGCGUUGAAAAAAAGCCUAAUAAAGGUUUGCGUGAACCCCUACUGCCUCCUGCUGGUUGAUUUGGGAACUAUAACCCUGCCGCUGGGACGCUCGUACUUGUUUGUUACCACAUUCCAUCCGGCCACAAUAAGAGACCGGCCAUUAUUUACCUCCGCUGACUCUGACACCGGCCAAAAUUGGAGACCCGGCCUUUAAUUGAAUACCGGCCUGUAUUAGAGGAUUUACGGUAAAUAAUCUUUAAUAUUUAAAUUUUCUCCUAAGUCCCUCCCCUGCCCUGUAGAGCUCAGCCAAUAUUUCUGCAAGCCUAACGCGUUGACUAAUAGCGCUGCACUACCACCAGGGGGCAGCUGUCAAUCAUCGAGAACGAGCAUUAGAUCUCAGCGUGCACAAGCACAACAGUGUCACGCGCCUCACUCGGCUCACUGUUUCGUGAUCUACGCGGCCUGAAAACGGUUGAAGUUGGCAAAGUAUCCUUUGGAGUGGUAUGAAAAUUUGGAGGAGGUGAUGGAACAAGGUGAAACUGAAAAUGAAGGAUCUUCACAAAUGGCAAGUACAUCAAAGAGAACACAUGGUCACCAGAGAACCAGAAGUUGAUUCGUCUUCAGAGGAGGACAAAACCAUCUAGAUGGACAGCGGUACUGAUGACGGCGGUGAUGAGGACUACACACCUUAUAUACACAUAAGAUACCAUAAAAUAUUCAACAAAAAAUCUAGAUGCUGGAGGCUGUAUUCUGAGAAGGUGGCAAAAGACUACUCCUACAUCCCAGAGAUCCAAACCAUGAUCGUCAGCCAACGUUUGACAAGCAAGAAAGGUCUUCCUCGACGCUACAAGCUAAGGCCUGAGGAUCCAAGGCGUUACGGUUUGCUGUCCGGAGUCCCUGCACCAUCAACAGAGGAACUUCUACAACACCUAAGGACUCGCGGUGAUGGUAAAAUAAAACAUUAUCUGCCUUACAUCUUCCACACAAUAGUCCAUUGCUGAUUGAGUUUAUUUUUUAUUUACAGGUAAAACUUUGCCACAGACUUAGGUGUUGGGGGAGACAAGAGAAAACCCAAAACCUUCUUUAUUUUUGUUUCCUGUGUUUGUUUGUUUUUUGUUUGAAAAUAAAGAUAUAUUUUGGGGAAAUAAGGACUAAUAAUUAAAAAAUGUAUGUAAAAUGCUGGAGGUAGACAUACGUUUUUGUUGUUGUGCAGGAGUUUUAAAAUUUAUGGUAUUUUUACAAAUGCAACAGAGAGUUAUGCUUUAGAACACUUUAUUAGAGCAUCAAACAAAAAUAUAUAAAAACAAACUGAUGUAAAAUAUUAA